AACGAACGCUGGCGGCAUGCCUAACACAUGCAAGUCGAACGAGACCUUCGGGUCUAGUGGCGCACGGGUGCGUAACGCGUGGGAAUCUACCCUUGGGUUCGGAAUAGCAGUUAGAAAUGACUGCUAAUACCGGAUGAUGACGUAAGUCCAAAGAUUUAUCGCCCAAGGAUGAGCCCGCGUAAGAUUAGCUUGUUGGUGGGGUAAUGGCCUACCAAGGCGACGAUCUUUAGCUGGUCUGAGAGGAUGAUCAGCCACACUGGGACUGAGACACGGCCCAGACUCCUACGGGAGGCAGCAGUGGGGAAUAUUGGACAAUGGGCGAAAGCUUGAUCCAGCAAUGCCGCGUGAGUGAUGAAGGCCUUAGGGUUGUAAAGCUCUUUUACCGGGGAUGAUAAUGACAGUACCUGGAGAAUAAGCUCCGGCUAACUCCGUGCCAGCCGCCGCCGUAA
rnacentral:rRNA from 1 species